rnacentral:lncRNA from 1 species
UGCACUCCAGCCUGGGACGACAGAGCGAGACUCCAUCUCAAAAAAAAAAAUGACUUGAACCCGGAAGGCAGAGCCUGGUGCACUCUAAACACAGGAGCUCAGGAACCGCGAGAGAGCUCAAAAUAGAUCCAUGACACAAGGUGACAAAGAUAGUAUUGGAAUUUUUUGGUGAGGAUAUGGGAAAAAGGAUCCAGCUGUUCACCACAAAACUGAAAUUUAAUUUCUCUGGGACGUUUCUGCUCUUUCCUUGCUAAACUUCCCUCCUUCUCCUUUCCCGCCUCCCACCCGGCCCCAACAUCCCCUCUAUUGUCCAGCCCCAGCCUUCUGCUGGCACAGCCCUGACCAAAAGCGGGGUGUGGGGGGUUGCCCACAGCGGCCCCCAAGUGUCCCUGGGACGCGUGAAUCACGACAAGGGUUACAGCUUGCCAGGCUCCCACUGCACACGAAGCACAUUUGGACAUUGCAGACUCUGCAUCUCUGUGGCAAGGACUGCCACAACCCCCUUGGACCCAGGAACCCCCAGGAGGAAGCGCUAGUACCGGGUGUCAAUGUGGCUACCCAGCGCCCGCUGCUUCUGAAGCUAACCUCGAAUGCGUCGCCCACAUCCAUGGCUUCUCUUCUGGGCGCUUCACAGUAACCGUGGAGUAAGGUGGGUAAGUUACCGCUACUCAUUUUCCUUGAAAUCCCAUUUCUCAGGUGAGAGAGAAAAGCUCAGAGAGGCCAAGGGCUCGGGGCAGCUGUGGUGCCACGCCCAGCCCUUUGGUCUGAACUGCCCCAUAGACUGCAUACAGGUCCCAUUGUGUCCGGACUUGGUGGGUUCUUGGUCUCACUGACUUCAAGAAUGAAAUCGCAGACCUUCACGGUGAGUGCUGUAGCGAGUUCUACAGUUCUUAAAGGCGGCGUGGCCGGAGUUUGUUCCUGACGUUCGGAUGUGUUCGGAGUUUCUUCCUUCUGAUAGGUUCGUGGUGCGGCUGGCUCAGGAGUGAAGCUGCAGACCUUCGCCAUGGGAAACCAAGGAUGAAGGAGAGGAGAAUGCCUUGCCCAAGACCUCAGUGCUAAAAUUCUCGGCAGCUGUGGUUUGUAUUCACCUGGGGCUGGCAGCAUCGGGACCACCAGGAGACCCGGUGGAAAUGCACACCUCUGGGGCGCACUCCAGACUUGCUGCAUCGGAAGCCAUGGCACAACCAGCUCUCCAGGUGACUGAGGCUAACACAAGUUUGAGAACUACUGCCCUGGCCCUUGCUUUCUCGGCUGGGACUGACGUUCUGCACAGGUAGGACCCAGUGACAAACUUUCACCUCCCAACUGCUCCAUGUACCUUGGUCCCCACAAAAGCCUUCCUCACACACAAGUAAACUCCAGAAACAAAGGAUAGGAAAGAGCUAGAAGCAGACACUGGUGGUUAUGAACAUCUUCACAUGAUAGACAAUGCAGCUCCAAAGUGAGGAAAACUGGCUUGCUAUUUCAGCACAAACAAGACGCCAACCAGCCAAAAACAUUGGUACACAAGCAAAAGAAAACCUAGGCCAGGCACGGUGGCUCACACCUGUAAUCCCAGCACUUGGGGAGGCCGAGGCGGGUGGAUCACCUGAGAGGUCAGGAGUUCA